CACGCGGGACUCCAGGUCUGCGUUGGAGGUACCGGCCGUCUCCAGCUCAGACUCAAGCUGCUUGCGGCUAGCCUCCACCGCGUCCAGGCGAGUCAACAGCUCAGCGUGCGCGUCCUUCCGGACUGCAAGCUCCGCGGCCGUGGACUUCUGCUCCUCGGUCGCCUCCUGCAGACGUUGCGUCAGCGCCUCCUCGCUGGCCUUGGCAGCGCUCAGCUGUGCGUCGCCCUCCGCGCGCGCGGACUCCGCAGCCUCCAGGCGAGACUGCAGGUCAUCACGAGACGCCUCCGCCGCCGCCACCUGGGCCAACAGCGCCGCACGCAUGGUCUCCGCCUCCGCCGCUGCGGUCUUGAGCUCCGCUGCGGAGGACUCCCGCAGCUCAACCAAUGCCUUUUCGGCCGCUUCCGAUGCCGCACGGGCCGCCGCCAGCUGCUCCCGGGCUUCCGCCAGUUGCGAAUCAAGCAUGCUAUUGAGAGCAGAUGCACGCGAGGCCGCAGCCUCAGUGGCGGCUUGCGCAGCAGCCAGCUUAGCCUCAAGGGCAGCAACGUGGCCUGCAGCUUGCUUCACCACCUCGUGACGCUCUGCCUGCGCUGUCGCCAGCUGCUGUUCCAGCUGCGCCACGUGCGUUUGCGACUGGUCGCUUUGCUCCGCCAGCUCCCGCCGCGCGCUGGCCAGGGCGGCCUCAAGGACGGCCGUCUGCGCCACGCUCCGCUCGGCCUGGACCGUUGUUCCUGUGCGCACUGCCGCCAGCUGCGACUCCAGCAAGUCAACGUGCGCAGUGAAGGUCUCAGACAGCUGCUCCUUCUCAGCACGUGCGUUAGCCAGCUGGUACUCUAGCGUCUCAAUGUCCGCAGCUGCACACUUGGCCGCGUCAGCAGCCUGAGCGCGCUCACUGGCAAGCCGGGCCUCAGCCGCUGCAAGCGCAGCGGAUGCCGCCGCAAGGGCGGCAUCCAACUCAGCGCUCUUCGCCGUCGCAGCAGACAGCUGCUGACGGGCCUGCUCGCCAGCCUCCUCCGCGGCGCCGAGCUGCUUCUGCAGCUGCUCACGAGCUGCCUGCGAAGAUGACAGCUCCUCCUGCAGGCGACGGACCUCCGCGGCAGAGCCAGCAAGGGACGCUGUGAGCUCCACAACGGACGCAUCGAAAGCCGCAAGCUUCGACUCCGCCUCUGCCUUCGCAGACUCCACGGCAGCCAGCUCCGCCGACAGCGAGUCGCGCUCAGCCGAAACCGACGCCAGGCGAGACUGCACCUCGGCCUUCUCCGAAGCGGCAGACGCCAGCUGCGACUCAAGCUCGGCACGAGCGACGUCUGCAGCCUGCACACGGCCCUCCAGCUCCGCGCGCUCAGCGUCAGCGGCGCCCAGCUGCGACGCCAGCUGCUCACGCUCAGCCACCAGCGACACCAGCCGGCUGUCCACGUCAGCCUUGGAGGUGCCAGCCGCCUCCAGCUCCGAUCGCAGCUUGAGGCUGGACACGUCGGAAGCCUCGAGGCGGCUCUCCAGCUCGGCCUUGGCGGCCUCGGCAGCGGCAAGCUGCGAGUUGAGGCUGUCGCGCUCAGCGGACACGGCCGCCACGCGGGACUCCAGGUCUGCGUUAGAGCUACCGGCCGUCUCCAGCUCAGACUCAAGCUGCUUACGGCUAGCCUCCACCGCGUCCAGGCGAGCCAACAGCUCAGUGUGCGCGUCCUCCCUGACUGCAAGCUCCGCGGCUAUGGACUUCUGCUCCUUGGUCGCCUCCUGCAGACGUUGCGUCAGCGCCUCCUCGCUGGCCUUGGCAGCGCUCAGCUGUGCGUCGCCCUCGGCGCGCGCGGACUCCGCAGCCUCCAGGCGAGACUGCAGGUCAUCACGAGACACCUCCGCCGCCGCCACCUGGGCCAGCAGCGCCGCACGCAUGGCCUCCGCCUCCGCCGCUGCGGUCUUGAGCUCCGCUGCGGAGGACUCCCGCAGCUCAGCCAGUGCCUUGUCAGCCGCCUCCGCCGCCGCGUGGGCCGCCGCCAGCUGCUUGUUAGCGGCCGAAAGCUGCGAAUCCAACGCGUCAACGACUGCAGAGGAGCGGGAAGCUGCUGCUGCGGUCGUGGCAAGAGCGGCGGCCAGCUUGACCUCCAGCUCCGCGACAUGGCUAGCCGCGCGCUGGACCGCCUCAUCACGCUCCGCCUGAGCAGCCGCCAGACGGCCUUCUAGAAUGGCAACCUCGGAUGCCGAGCGGUCUUGGUGGUGGCUCGUCUCGGACCGCGCAGCGGCCAGCGAGACCUCGAGCGCGGCGAUGGACGCAGCGGCACUCUCGGAGGCCUUGGCGUGCGCGGAGCGAGCCGCAGCAAGCUCCGACUCCAGAGACUCCACAUGAGCGGUGAAGGUCUCGGAUGACUGCGCGUUCUCUGCCUGGGCUGCUGCCAGCUGUGCCUCCAGAGACUCAAUUUGUGACGCAGCCAGCUUGCUGGCCUGCUCUGCCGCGGUCUUGGCCUGUGCCAGCUGUGCUUCUGACACCGCCAGGCGCUCCUGCAGCUGCUCACCAACCUCCUCCGCGGCCCCGAGCUGCUUCUGCAGCUGCUCACGAGCCGCCUGCGAAGAUGACAGCUCCUCCUGCAGGCGACGGACCUCCGCAGCAGAGCCAGCAAGGGACGCUGUGAGCUCCACAACGGACGCAUCGAAAGCCGCAAGCUUCGACUCCGCCUCUGCCUUCGCAGACUCCACGGCAGCCAGCUCCGCCGACAGCGAGUCGCGCUCAGCCGAAACCGACGCCAGGCGAGACUGCACCUCGGCCUUCUCCGAAGCGGCAGACGCCAGCUGCGACUCAAGCUCGGCACGAGCGACGUCUGCAGCCUGCACACGGCCCUCCAGCUCCGCGCGCUCAGCGUCAGCGGCGCUCAGCUGCGACGCCAGCUGCUCACGCUCAGCCACCAGCGACACCAGCCGGCUGUCCACGUCGGCCUUGGAGGUGCCAGCCGCCUCCAGCUCCGAUCGCAGCUUGAGGCUGGACACGUCGGCGGCCUCGAGGCGGCUCUCCAGCUCGGCCUUGGCGGCCUCGGCAGCGACAAGCUUUGAGUUGAGGCUGUCACGCUCAGCUGACACAGCUGCCACGCGGGACUCCAGGUCUGCGUUGGAGGUACCGGCCGCCUCCAGCUCAGACUCAAGCUCGGCACGAGCGGAGUCCGCAGCCGCCAGGCGGGUGGCGAUGUCGGCCUUUGCCUUCUCCGCUGCCGCAAGCUUAGCGGCCGUGGACUUCUGCUCAGCGGCUGCCUGUGCGAGCUGCUCGGAAAGCUGACGCUUGUCCGCCUCCGCAGCCUGCAGCUGCGAGAUGCUGUCGGCACGUCCCUGGUCCGCGGCUUGCAGGCGACUUUGAAGCGCCUCCUUCACUGCAGCGGCAGCCGUCGCCUGUGCCAGCAGGUCUGCGCGCAGCGCAUCGUCUGCAGCUGUCGCCAGUGCAAGGCGCUCCGCGGCUGCUUGCCGUUCCUCCGCGAGCUCCUUCCGCAUGGCCUCGAGCUGCAUUUCCAGCAAUGCCGUUUGCGCCACGGAGCGCUCCACCUGCUGCAUGCCGCCAGCACGGAUAGAUUGCAGCUCUGCCUCCAGUCCAGCAACGGUGGAUGCUGCGCGCCGUGCCGCCUCCGCGCUGGUAGCGCGUGCGUACGUGAGCUCCUGCUCGAGCUCCGCCACCCUCGAGGCAGCAGACUGCUGCUGCUCCUCGAGCUCCAUGCGCGCCUUCUGCAGCUGCUCUUCCAGUGCCGCGGUCUGCUCUGCAGACUGGCGCGCGUGCUCAGCGCUGAUACUGUGGGCCGCCGCAAGCUGCCCCUCGAGUGCAGCAACACGCGCUGCUGAAUCGGCUGUGUACUCCUGCAGCGCGACCCUUGCCAUCUGCAGCUGUGCCUCCAACUCGGCCGCCUGCAGCGCCGCACGCUCGGCCUGCUCGUGGCUGUCCGCACGUGUAGAGGCCAGCAGCGCCUCAAGCGCCGCCACUUGCACCGCAGACUGGCGCGCCUGUUCCGCAUUCGCCUCCUGCGCCGCUGCCAGCUCUGACUGCAGGCGCAUGUUCUCCGCCUUCAUCUGCGCCAGCUGCGCCUCCAGCAUCUCGCUGUGCGCGGCGGCCGAGGCGGCCUCCAUGGCCAGGCGGUCCUGCUCUGCAAUGGCAGUGGCGAGCUGGGCCUCCAGGGAGUCGACCUUGGCGCCGCGGGCGUCCGCGUCCGCACGGAGCUCCUCCAGGCGGGCCUGCAUCUCCUUGAGCGACUGCUGGUGGGCAUCCACGGUGCUGGCCGCCUCCUGGGCGCGCAGGACGGCAACAGUGGCCGUCUCCUCCUGCAGCGCGGCCUCGCGCUCCUGUGCCGUCUGCAGCUGCUGCUGAAGCGCGCGAACGCUGGCCUGCUGCUUGGCAACCUCCGCCUCCGCGGCGUCAAGGCGGGUCUGCAGCUGCUGCCGCGUGGUCUCCAGGCGCGAUGCCCGGUCAGAGGCACUCUCGCGAGCCGCAGCGGCCGCAGCCGCAGCAGCGGCCGCCUCAGCGGCAGCCACCUUGUGUGAGGCCUCUGCCGCCGCCAGGGCACGCUGCGACGAAACCACCUCAGCCUCAGCCUUCUUGCGGGCCUCUUCCGAGACGUUCAAUCGCACACGCAGCUCCUCGCGGGCCUGCUCCAAAGCGCUCUGCUCGGCACGCAGCUCUGACAGAGCCGCCACAGAGGUGGCGAGCUCUGAGCGAAGGUCGCGCAGUGCGGCGUCGUCGGCUUGCACCUGCGCCUCCAGCUCCGAGCGAGCAGCCUUGGCAUCCGCCAGCUGCACUUGCAGGGACUGCAGCGAGUCUUGCGCGUCCUGCAGCUUCGCUGCCAGCUCGGCCUUGGCGGCCUCGGCAGCGACAAGCUGCGAGUUGAGGCUGUCACGCUCAGCUGACACGGCUGCCACGCGGGACUCCAGGUCUGCGUUGGAGGUACCGGCCGCCUCCAGCUCAGACUCAAGCUGCUUGCGGCUAGCCUCCACCGCGUCCAGGCGAGUCAACAGCUCAGCGUGCGCCUUCACCUCCUCUGCAAGCUCCGCGGCUGUGGACUUCUGCUCCUUGGUCGCCUCCUGCAGACGUUGCGUCAGCGCCUCCUCGCUGGCCUUGGCAGCGCUCAGCUGUGCGUCGCCCUCGGCGCGCGCGGACUCCGCAGCCUCCAGGCGAGACUGCAGGUCAUCACGAGACGCCUCCGCCGCCGCCACCUGGGUCAACAGCGCCGCACGCAUGGUCUCUGCCUCCGCCGCUGCAGUCUUGAGCUCCGCUGCGGAGGACUCCCGCAGCUCAACCAAUGCCUUGUCGGCCGCUUCCGCCGCCGCACGGG
rnacentral:lncRNA from 1 species